rnacentral:rRNA from 1 species
AGAGUUUGAUCCUGGCUCAGAACGAACGCUGGCGACGUGGUUUAGGCAUGCAAGUCGAACGAGAAACCCCGCUUCGGUGGGGGAGUAAAGUGGCGAAAGGGUGAGUAACGCGUAAGUAACCUACCCUUGGCUGGGGAAUAACCCGGCGAAAGCCGGGAUAAUACCGCAUAAAGCCCCGAUACAGCAUUGUAUUGGGGUGAAAGAUCUGUUCCGUUCGCGGGAUUGGUCGGCCAAGGAGGGGCUUGCGUCCUAUUAGCUUGUUGGUGGGGUAAUGGCCUACCAAGGCUUUGAUGGGUAGCUGGUCUGAGAUGAUGGUCAGCCACACUGGGACUGAGACACUGCCCAGACUCCUACGGGAGGCUGCAGUCGAGAAUCAUCCGCAAUGGGCGAAAGCCUGACGGUGCGACGUCGCGUGGGGGAUGAAGGCCUUCGGGUCGUAAACUCCUUUCACCUGGGAAGAAAAAGCAUUCCAUGAAUAAGGGAAUGAACUGACGGUACCGGGAGAAGAAGCUCCGGCUAACUCCGUGCCAGCAGCCGCGGUAAUACGGAGGGAGCAAGCGUUGUUCGGAUUUACUGGGCGUAAAGGGCAUGUAGGUGUCCUGAUAAGCUCUGGGUGAAAUCUCUGCCCUUAAGGCAGAAAGGUCCCAGAGAACUGUCAGGAUUGAGGUCAGAAGAAGAGAGCGGAAUUCUCGGUGUAGCGGUGAAAUGCGUAGAUAUCGAGAAGAACACCAGCGGCGAAGGCGGCUCUCUAUUCUGAAACUGACACUGAAGUGCGAAAGCGUGGGUAGCGAACGGGAUUAGAUACCCCGGUAGUCCACGCCGUAAACGAUGUGCACUUGAUGUAUCCCUUUCGGGGGGUGCGUCGUAGCUAACGCGUUAAGUGCACCGCCUGGGGAGUACGGCCGCAAGGCUAAAACUCAAAGGAAUUGAUGGGGGCCCGCACAAGCGGUGGAGCAUGUGGUUUAAUACGACGCAACGCGUAGAACCUUACCAGGGUUUGACAUGCUGGAAGUAGGAACCUGAAAGGGUAACGAUCCGUAUCCAGUCGGAAGCCAGCACAGGUGUUGCAUGGCUGUCGUCAGCUCGUGCCGUGAGGUGUUUGGUUAAGUCCAUCAACGAGCGCAACCCUCAUUUUUAGUUGCCAGUUCCGAGCGUAAGCGAGGAAGGCACUCUAAAGAGACUGCCCCGGUAACGGGGAGGAAGGUGGGGAUGACGUCAAGUCAUUAUGGCCCUUAUGCCCUGGGCUACACACGUGCUACAAUGGUCGAUACAGAGGGUCGCUAACCCGCGAGGGGGAGCCAAUCCCAUAAAGUCGGCCUCAGUUCGGAUUGGAGGCUGCGAUUCGCCUCCAUGAAGCUGGAAUCGCUAGUAAUGGCGCAUCAGCUACGGCGCCGUGAAUAUGUUCCCGGGCCUUGUACACACCGCCCGUCACAUCAUGGAAGCUGCGUGUACCUGAAGUCGCUGUACCAACCCUGAGUUUCGACGAAGGGAGGAAGGCGCCCAAGGUGUGUGUGGUGACUGGGAUGAAGUCGUAACAAGGUA